GACGAACGCUGGCGGCGUGCUUAACACAUGCAAGUCGAACGGGUCUGCCCUGUUUUUUGCGGGGUGGGUCAGUGGCGAACGGGUGAGUAACACGUGAGUAACCUGCCCCUCACUUCUGGAUAACCGCUUGAAAGGGUGGCUAAUACGGGGUGUUCUGGCUGUGCCGCAUGGUGUGGCUGGGAAAGAUUCACUUUUGUGGUGUUUUGGUGGGGGAUGGGCUCGCGGCCUAUCAGCUUGUUGGUGGGGUGAUGGCCUGCCAAGGCUUUGACGGGUAGCCGGCCUGAGAGGGUGGGCGGUCACACUGGGACUGAGAUACGGCCCAGACCCCUGCGGGAGGCAGCAGUGGGGGGUAUUGCACAAUGGGCGGAAGCCUGAUGCAGCGACGUCGCGUGAGGGAUGGAGGCCUUCGGGUUGUGAACCUCUUUCGCCGGUGAAGAAGGUCCUGCUCUUUGUGGUGGGGUUGACGGUAGCCGGGUUAUGAAGCGCCGGCUAACUACGUG
rnacentral:rRNA from 1 species